UACGGAGGGGGGCUAGCGUUGUUCGGAAUUACUGGGCGUAAAGCGCACGUAGGCGGCUUUGCAAGUUAGAGGUGAAAGCCCGGGGCUCAACCUCGGAACUGCCUUCGAUACUGGUCAUCUUGAGUACGGGAGAGGUGUGUGGAACUCCGAGUGUAGAGGUGAAAUUCGUAGAUAUUCGGAAGAACACCAGUGGCGAAGGCGACACACUGGCCCGUUACUGACGCUGAGGCGCGAAAGCGUGGGGAGCAAACAGG
rnacentral:rRNA from 1 species